rnacentral:misc_RNA from 1 species
UUUCCGUAGGUGAACCUGCGGAAGGAUCACUCAUAAUAAAGUGUUUUAUGGCACUUUUUAAAAAUCCAUAUCCACCUUGUGUGCAAUGUUAGAUCUCGUCAAUCUUGGCGAGAUUUUUAUACAUCAACUCAUUUUUUAACUAAUUUGUCUGAAAAAUAUUAUGAAUACUUAAUUCAAAAUACAACUUUCAACAACGGAUCUCUUGGCUCUC